AUUGAACGCUGGCGGCAUGCUUUACACAUGCAAGUCGAACGGUAACAGGCCGCAAGGUGCUGACGAGUGGCGAACGGGUGAGUAAUGCAUCGGAACGUGCCCAGUCGUGGGGGAUAACGCAGCGAAAGCUGUGCUAAUACCGCAUACGAUCUAUGGAUGAAAGCGGGGGACCGUAAGGCCUCGCGCGAUAGGAGCGGCCGAUGUCAGAUUAGGUAGUUGGUGGGGUAAAGGCUCACCAAGCCAACGAUCUGUAGCUGGUCUGAGAGGACGACCAGCCACACUGGGACUGGCACACGGCCCAGACUCCUACGGGAGGAAGCAGUGGGGAAUUUUGGACAAGGGGCGCAAGCCUGAUCCAGCAAUGCCGCGUGCAGGAAGAAGGCCUUCGGGUUGUAAACUGCUUUUGUACGGAACGAAAAGGUUUGGGUUAAUACCCUGGGCCGAUGACGGUACCGUAAGAAUAAGCACCGGCUAACUACGUGCCAGCCGCCGCUGUAAUAC
rnacentral:rRNA from 1 species